rnacentral:rRNA from 1 species
UACGUAGGGUGCAAGCGUUAUCCGGAAUUAUUGGCGUAAAGAGCUCGUAGGCGGUCUGUCGCGUCUGCUGUGAAAACUGGGGGCUCAACCCCCAGCCUGCAGUGGGUGACGGGCAGACUAGAGUGCGGUAGGGGAGAUUGGAACUCCUGGUGUAGCGGUGGAAUGCGCAGAUAUCAGGAGGAACACCAAUAGCGAAGGCAGCUCGCUGGGACGGUAUUGACGCUAAGGCGCGAAAGCGU